rfam:Myotis lucifugus cont2.8288, whole genome shotgun sequence.
CAUGCACCAGUGGGGUCCCUCGGCCUGGCCUGUGACCUCUCACAAUCCGGGACCCCUUGGGGGUUGUUGGAGAACUGGUUUCAGCCCGAUCCCCACAGGCCAGGCUGAGGGACCCCACCGGUGCAUG